UGGGAACGCGAAGAACCUUACCUGGACUUGACAUACCCUGAAUAUCUUAGAGAUAAGAGAAGCCCUUCGGGGCAGGGAUACAGGUGGUGCAUGGUUGUCGUCAGCUCGUGUCGUGAGAUGUUAGGUUAAGUCCUGCAACGAGUGCAACCCCUGUUGUUAGUUGCUAACAUUAAGUUGAGCACUCUAGCAAGACUGCUGCGAUUAACGCGGAGGAAGGUGGGGAUGACGUCAAAUCAUCAUGCCCCUUAUGUCCAGGGCAACACACGUGCUACAAUGGGCAGUACAGAGAGAAGCAAGACCGCGAGGUGGAGCAAACCUCAAAAACUGCCCCCAGUUCGGAUUGUAGGCUGAAACUCGCCUACAUGAAGUUGGAGUUGCUAGUAAUCGCGAAUCAGAAUGUCGCGGUGAAUGCGUUCCCGGGUCUUGUACACACCG
rnacentral:rRNA from 1 species